UACGUAGGGUGCAAGCGUUAUCCGGAAUUAUUGGGCGUAAAGAGCUCGUAGGCGGUUUGUCGCGUCUGCUGUGAAAACUGGAGGCUCAACCUCCAGCCUGCAGUGGGUACGGGCAAACUAGAGUGCGGUAGGGGAGAUUGGAAUUCCUGGUGUAGCGGUGGAAUGCGCAGAUAUCAGGAGGAACACCGACGGCGAAGGCAGAUCUCUGGGCCGUAACUGACGCUGAGGAGCGAAAGCAUGGGGAGCGAACAGG
rnacentral:rRNA from 1 species